CGAUUCCCAAUUUCACCGUAAAAUCGAAAUAGACCUGAUCAGGAACUGAUCAUCUCUACUAAGCAUUGGACGACCCGGGUUGGCCAAGCCGCCUCUUCCUCCGCCGCGGCUGGCGGCGCCGCCACCUUUUGAAGAGACCUCGCACCACUCACUGCCCAUUCUCUCUCUCUUCCGCCGCCUCUCUCGCUCUCUCGGUCUCGGCCUCCCUCGCCUUUCUGUGCGAUUUCGACUCUCUCUCUCUUCCUCUGCUCGCGAACUAACGAAGCUGCCGCCAAGCCCGAGUUGAGGUGGCCGUCGCAGCGACCAUGCGACAGAGACGUCAUGUUUCUGCUGGCGGUAGUGGUGGACAAAUAUCACAGAAUUUGAAAGACCUCCCUGAAGAAAAAUUAGAAGAAUCAUAUCCAUGCUUGUCAGAAAGGAGAGUGUUUUUGCUUUGUUUGGCUGUGCGAGUGUUGAACUCCUUGCUUGUGCAGACAUAUUUCAACCCAGAUGAGCAUUGGCAAGCUCUAGAAGUUGCACAUCGUAUUGCAUUUGGCUAUGGACACAUAACAUGGGAAUGGAAAAAGGGUAUUCGAGGUUAUCUGCAUCCAAUGAUAUUUGCUCUUCUUUACAAAGUUCUUGCAGUACUUGGUCUUGAUAAACCUUUGAUCAU